AGCGUUGAAACACCAGUUCCUGUACGAUCAUCGAAGUUAAGCAGCAUCGAUGCUGGUCAGUACCUAUAUGGGUGACUGCAUGGGAAUACAAGGUGCUGUAUG